rnacentral:rRNA from 1 species
AUACGGAGGGUGCGAGCGUUAAUCGGAAUUACUGGGCGUAAAGCGUACGUAGGCGGUUUGCUAAGUCAGAUGUGAAAGCCCCGGGCUUAACCUGGGAACUGCAUUUGAUACUGGCAGACUAGAGUAUGAUAGAGGGGGGUAGAAUUCCUGGUGUAGCGGUGAAAUGCGUAGAUAUCAGGAGGAAUACCAGUGGCGAAGGCGGCCUCCUGGAUCAAUACUGACGCUGAGGUACGAAAGCGUGGGGAGCGAACAGGAUUAGAAACCCUAGUAGUCC